rnacentral:rRNA from 1 species
AGUGUAGGCGGGUGUGUAAGUCCGGUGUGAAAGCCCUCGGCUCAACCGAGGAAGGCCGUCGGAAACUGCGCGCCUUGAGUGCGGGAGGGGAGAGUGGAACUCUUGGUGGAGCGGUGAAAUGCGUAGAUAUCAAGAGGAACGCCGGUGGCGAAAGCGGCUCUCUGGCCCGUAACUGACGCUGAGGCUCGAAAGCCAGGGGAGCAAACG